UAGGGAAUCUUCGGCAAUGGACGAAAGUCUGACCGAGCAACGCCGCGUGAGUGAAGAAGGUUUUCGGAUCGUAAAACUCUGUUGUUAGAGAAGAACAAGGACGUUAGUAACUGAACGUCCCCUGACGGUAUCUAACCAGAAAGCCACGGCUAACUACGUGCCAGCAGCCGCGGUAAUACGUAGGUGGCAAGCGUUGUCCGGAUUUAUUGGGAGUAAAGCGAGCGCAGGCGGUUUCUUAAGUCUGAUGUGAAAGCCCCCGGCUCAACCGGGGAGGGUCAUUGGAAACUGGGAGACUUGAGUGCAGAAGAGGAGAGGGGAAUUCCAUGUGUAGCGGUGAAAUGCGUAGAUAUAUGGAGGAACACCAGUGGCGAAGGCGGCUCUCUGGUCUGUAACUGACGCUGAGGCUCGAAAGCGUGGGGAGCAAACAGG
rnacentral:rRNA from 1 species